rnacentral:other from 1 species
AAAUACCUGCCUUGCUCGUGAUUGGAAUUAAAACUUAUUCCGACCAAAUUAAUUAAGGGAUCCUGCGUAAAGCAUGUGGUGCGCCCCUUCGGGGAAGCCUGAUCCUGCUUUCGGGGAACCCACCUGUAAAACGGGGUUUAUAGUUUUUUUUCUACACGGCAAGGUGGGAAGAAU